rnacentral:rRNA from 1 species
GCUAGGAUGAACGCUAGCGGGAGGCCUAACACAUGCAAGUCGAACGGGAUUGGUAGCAAUACCAUGAGAGUGGCGCACGGGUGAGUAACGCGUAUGCAACCUACCUGUAACAGAGGGAUAGCCCAUAGAAAUGUGGAUUAAUACCUCAUAGUCCUGAGAAGUCGCAUGGCUUUUCAGGUAAAACUCCGGUGGUUACAGAUGGGCAUGCGUGACAUUAGCUAGUUGGUAAGGUAACGGCUUACCAAGGCAACGAUGUCUAGGGGUUCUGAGAGGAUGAUCCCCCACACUGGUACUGAGACACGGACCAGACUCCUACGGGAGGCAGCAGUGAGGAAUAUUGGUCAAUGGGCGCAAGCCUGAACCAGCCAUCCCGCGUGCAGGAUGACGGCCCUAUGGGUUGUAAACUGCUUUUGUACAGGAAGAAAAAUCCCUACGUGUAGGGACCUGCCGGUACUGUACGAAUAAGCAUCGGCUAACUCCGUGCCAGCCGCCGC